GUGCUGAAAAAGGAAAAAAAAAGUACUUUUUAUUGGGUAAUUUAUUAAAAGAAAGGAUUUUAUUUUAUGAUAAAGUAAUCCUUAAGAUUUCAAAGCUUAGAUAUGUAGACAGGAAAAAAAUCUUUUGUAGCCAGAUUUAAACUUAAGUAUUCAUUUUUAAAAUUUUUAUUUUAAAUAAUUUUUUUUUGUUUCUUGUGUGCAGGAUAUUUUGCUGUUUAUUGGUACUUAGCUAUAAAUGCCUUGUCUAGUGAUUUAUCACAUUAUUGUUGGUUAGAAAUUUGAGCAGCUUAACUCCUUCAUGCCUGGAAAAAAAAACACUUCCUGAAUUUUUUUUUUUCUUUACUGGGAGUGUCUGCUGAUACACUCUGAAGCGGUGUAUGUCUGCUGCUCCCAGCACUCAAGGAGUUAAUUUGACCUGCCAGAAAUGAAGGGGGUGCUUUAAUUAACUGCGUGCUGUUUUAGUGAUGUAAAUGCAAUAUUUUGUAGCUGGGGGAAUAGAAGCUUCUACAGUGAAUUAGCUAGUUCAACGUAUGCUUCAUUUUUGCAAAUUUUUUGAUAGACAGUGAAAAUAAUAAUAAAAAAAAUAAAUAAAUCUUUUUGUUGCUUUAACAGUUCUGAAAUGCCAUAUAUUUU